rnacentral:rRNA from 1 species
GCCAUCAGGUUAAGCUGGGGACUCUAAGGAACUGCCUACGCAAGUAGUGAGGAAGCGGGGAGUGACGUCAAAUCAGCACGGCCCUUACGUCCAGGGCUACACACGUGCUACAAUGGCCGAUACAGAGGGCAGCUACCUGGUGACAGGAUGCAAAUCUCCAAAAGUCGGUCUCAGUUCGGAUCGGAGUCUGCAACCCGACUCCGUGAAGUUGGAUUCGCUAGUAAUCGCGCAUCAGCCAUGGCGCGGUGAAUACGUUCCCGGGCCUU